rnacentral:rRNA from 1 species
CUUCGGGGUGUGACUGCGUACCUUUUGUAUAAUGGGUCAGCGACUUAUAUUCUGUAGCAAGGUUAACCGUAUAGGGGAGCCGGAGGGAAACCGAGUCUUAAUUGGGCGUUAAGUUGCAGGGUAUAGACCCGAAACCCGGUGAUCUAGCCAUGGGCAGGUUGAAGGUUGGGUAACACUAACUGGAGGACCGAACCGACUAAUGUUGAAAAAUUAGCGGAUGACCUGUGGCUGGGGGUGAAAGGCCAAUCAAACCGGGAGAUAGCUGGUUCUCCCCGAAAGCUAUUUAGGUAGCGCCUCGUGAAUUCAUCUCCGGGGGUAGAGCACUGUUUCGGCUAGGGGGCCAUCCCGGCUUACCAACCCGAUGCAAACUGCGAAUACCGGAGAAUGUUAUCACGGGAGACACACGGCGGGUGCUAACGUCCGUCGUGAAGAGGGAAACAACCCAGACCGCCAGCUAAGGUCCCAAAGUCAUGGUUAAGUGGGAAACGAUGUGGGAAGGCCCAGACAGCCAGGAUGUUGGCUUAGAAGCAGCCAUCAUUUAAAGAAAGCGUAAUAGCUCACUGGUCGAGUCGGCCUGCGCGGAAGAUGUAACGGGGCUAAACCAUGCACCGAAGCUGCGGCAGCGAACGUAUCACCCAAGACAACUUUACGGAGUUGACGAUUGACGGAGCGAAGCGACGUCAAAGCGUUCAUUAAAGUCGAGUUGGCUUAGGGAUACGUUCGUUGGGUAGGGGAGCGUUCUGUAAGCCUGUGAAGGUGUGUCGUGAGGCAUGCUGGAGGUAUCAGAAGUGCGAAUGCUGACAUAAGUAACGAUAAAGCGGGUGAAAAGCCCGCUCGCCGGAAGACCAAGGGUUCCUGUCCAACGUUAAUCGGGGCAGGGUGAGUCGACCCCUAAGGCGAGGCCGAAAGGCGUAGUCGAUGGGAAACGGGUUAAUAUUCCCGUACUUGGUGUUACUGCGAAGGGGGGACGGAGAAGGCUAUGUUGGCCGGGCGACGGUUGUCCCGGUUUAAGCGUGUAGGUGUGUGUUCCAGGUAAAUCCGGUUCACUUUAACACUGAGGCGUGACGACGAGGCACUACGGUGCUGAAGCAACAAAUGCCCUGCUUCCAGGAAAAGCCUCUAAGCAUCAGGUAACACGAAAUCGUACCCCAAACCGACACAGGUGGUCAGGUAGAGAAUACCAAGGCGCUUGAGAGAACUCGGGUGAAGGAACUAGGCAAAAUGGUGCCGUAACUUCGGGAGAAGGCACGCUGACACGUAGGUGAAGUGAUUUACUCAUGGAGCUGAAGUCAGUCGAAGAUACCAGCUGGCUGCAACUGUUUAUUAAAAACACAGCACUGUGCAAACACGAAAGUGGACGUAUACGGUGUGACGCCUGCCCGGUGCCGGAAGGUUAAUUGAUGGGGUCAGCGUAAGCGAAGCUCCUGAUCGAAGCCCCGGUAAACGGCGGCCGUAACUAUAACGGUCCUAAGGUAGCGAAAUUCCUUGUCGGGUAAGUUCCGACCUGCACGAAUGGCGUAAUGAUGGCCAGGCUGUCUCCACCCGAGACUCAGUGAAAUUGAACUCGCUGUGAAGAUGCAGUGUACCCGCGGCAAGACGGAAAGACCCCGUGAACCUUUACUAUAGCUUGACACUGAACAUUGAGCCUUGAUGUGUAGGAUAGGUGGGAGGCUUUGAAGUGUGGACGCCAGUCUGCAUGGAGCCGACCUUGAAAUACCACCCUUUAAUGUUU